GAGCCUGAAAUUUGUUCGCUCGCCUUGCACGCGGGAGACCCGGGUUCGAUUCCCGGCGGGGUCA
rnacentral:tRNA from 1 species